rnacentral:rRNA from 1 species
AUUGAACGCUGGCGGCAGGCCUAACACAUGCAAGUCGAACGAGUGGCGGACGGGUGAGUAAUGUCUGGGAAACUGCCUGAUGGAGGGGGAUAACUACUGGAAACGGUAGCUAAUACCGCAUCCCAUCGGAUGUGCCCAGAUGGGCUUAGCUAGUCGGUGGGGUAAAGGCUCACCUAGGCGACGAUCCCUAGCUGGUCUGAGAGGAUGACCGGCCACACUGGAACUGAGACACGGCCCAGACUCCUACGGGAGGCAGCAGUGGGGAAUAUUGCGCAAUGGACGAAAGUCUGAUGGAGCCAUGCCGCGUGUAUGAAGAAGGCUUUCGGGUUGUAAAGUACUGUCGUCGGGGAGGCGGUACCUGCACAAGAAGCAACGGCUAACUCCGUGCCAGCAGCCGCGGUAAUAC